AAGAAAUCGAGAAACCAGGAGAACGAGAAAGAAGAAGGCGGGAAUUUUCCUGUUCGCUUUACCCCUCACCCCCACAACCUCAUAUAUUCAUCCAACAUGAAGUCCGGAUCAGUAUUGUUCCUCACAUUGGCAACAGCGUGCUUGGUCUUACUAUUACAGAGCAGGAGUACGCAUGCGCGAGCCUUCGACAUGAAUAUGCUUGACGAGAGGGAAACGGCAGAGGGAGCUUUCCAAAAGAGGGACGCAGCACUCCGAAACACACUUAAAUCAUUAAUUAUGCGUAAAAACACAGACGAUAGGCUUUUUGAGCCAGCUGGUGUGGCACAAAAGCGAGGUGGAUCCAAGUCGAUUGAUUACGCCGAAGACAUGGUCAAAUUCGCCCUGUGGUGCAGACAGAUGAAUAUAGAAUGCUAGUACACCCGUCUUGCUUUCUCUUCAUCCCUUUCUUUUUACAUUGAUCUUCAAAUUUCUCACCUUACAACAACAACAACAGUACAGCCUGGCAUUUCAGUUUCAAGCAACAUGGGGAGGAACCAAGCCAUAUUGGACCAAAGGAUCUUUUCUUGAAUCGGCCACAACUUGCUUCAGGAAUCUCUUCACUUUUUCCCGUGUCAAAGAAAUAUUCGAAGGAAUUCUGCCACAAAAUCGUUUGCAUGAACGACCGGACAAUCAUGUUUUCAUUUCAUGUCGUGUUGAACGUGACUGUACAUUUAGCUUUUCUUAUUUUGUUUGGAAAUCAUUUGUUAUUUAGUUGUGAUGUUAUUACAGGAGUGUUAUGAGUUGGAUUUUGUUUCUCAUUGUAAUACUAGAAAGAUCAAUUUCAACCCCCUUGCUAGUAUUCUACAUGUAUAUAAAAGUAAAUAUGCUCCAUUGGCUAUACUAAGUUUUGUGAGGGCGCACUAGCAAAAGAGGGAAAAGUAUCCAGUCGGUCAUUCGUUUGUCAUUAAAGACCUCCUACCAGUGGUGGUACGCAAUACUUUUAGUAUUCCGAUGGCAUCAAAAUGUGCAAGGUAGCCGACGAUGAUAUUUUUUAAAUUUGAUUCUAUCUGAUAAAAUUCCAUCGUAUAUUCUUUUGAAAUAAUUAUUUUCAAAUAUUAAAAUAUUAUAGAUGUCAUCGAUGUUAUAUUCCUAGAGCAUAAUGGUAUGCAAAUUGUUAUUUAUGUUGCCCACAUCUGAUGAUUCAUGUAAGUAAUUCCUUUUACUGACAUUGUGUUUUGUGUGUUUUUUCGAAAACACUCAUUUGUUUUAAUGGCAAAUUAAGCCUUUAACAUUAGCUGAAGCGUCCUGAUUGGUUUUAUAAUAUCCCGAUGCAUUUCAAGUGACAGUCAUUUUGAAAUCGCAUGUAAGACAGGUCUCUUCGAUUCGGGAACACAUUUUUGCGAUGAUAAUUCGUUUAAUCUAGCUGGUAUAAACGAUUCAGGCAGGUCAAGGACAUGAUUUCAUACUGUCCACAAGUUGAGAGAGAUUGAAAAUACAUAAGUCCCUCUUCUUCAGUGAAUAGACAAAGAAUAUACUCCGUCAAGUCGUACUAUUUUGUCGGGGGGGGGGGGUAUUUCUGUCGUUGUUGUCCAAUCUGUGAUAUCUGCCUUGUAAAUAUUCCAAAAUAAAUUCGAUUGUGACAUAGACAGCGUAUGUCCAGACUUCUUGCCAAUGAAUUUAUUUUUUUUUCAAAUAACUGCCAAUUAUAGCUUUCCGAGUUUGAUUCAUGUGAUUUCGCAGGCUUGCAGUGCUAGAGUCGAGUAACAGGUUGAAUAUUUAUUAGAACAGAUUUCUGUACGCUUUGGUUCAUUCCCUCUUCGCCUUCUCCACUGUGUCAAAAGUGAUUAUUUUUUAAUUUGCUAUAUCAAGGUUAAACAAUGUAACCAUUUAGAGAAGGGUAAAAGGCUUUUUAUUUUUAAAAUCAAUACCGAUCAAUUUGAUAGGCAUAUCAAAAUCCUAUUCUCACAAAAGAACACGUUCUCUGUCAAAUAAAAUAUGGUAAUAAAUACAUACAUGUACAUAUAUAUGGUAUAGGUUUUACUUUAAGCCAGUGACAAAGGAUUUAUCACAAACACAUCUUUCUAUCAUCCUGUUUGGCAAUUAAAAUGUUUCUACUAUAUUGUUUGCUAAUUUUCGUUAAGUAUCGUAAUAAGUGUCUUGUAUAACCUCUCUCCAUUUCCAUGAGAGGAAAAAAGCCCUUAAAAAAACGUCGAAAUCGUGACAAGUGUUUGCUAGCAUCCUUCAUAACGCCCAUAAAGGACUUUGUUUGUCUAAUUAUCUACGUAAAUCAUUAAAACGGGUAAUUACAAAGACAAUUCUUAGUCGAAAAAUACAUAAAAUUUGUGUUUUGAAUCAAUUCGACUAAGAUCUAAACGAACUUGAAUAUCUUAUUGUUUUAUGAAAUUAAUCAGGUGCAAAGUGAUGUUUACAAAGCACAUGCCAUGUCGUUGGUCCAUUUGGCAAUCGUGUCUAGUAAAACUUGCUCAGUGGCUGUGGAGAAAGAAAUAGAUAUUGGUUGAAAAGAUAGAGGAGUGAGUACACAGAAAAGGAGAGAGAGCGGAGAGGGGGAGGGGAGGAGGAGGGAUGGAUGGAGAGAGAGAAGGCUCCUUUAAAUUAACCCUGAAAAGAUAAUUUUUAAAUUUGCUGUUACACUGUCCAUUAUCUACAAUAAUGACGGGCUAUAAUUUCCAAAAUGCUCCAAUUCAUGUUACGAAAGAAAAUUCGCGUUUUAAUAAAUACAUGUAUGUUUAAAUCUGAAUGAGUAUAGGAGACUAUGGAAAUGGAUUAUGGGAAGGGUGGUAUUUUUAUUAUUCGUCUCAAAACUUUAUUCAGUGUUUGCUGUUUUUUGUUAUUAACGAUAAAAAAGUGUUUUUGUAUUGAUGUCAUAAUUACAUUUUCUCAAAAGGCGCAUGCAUUGCCUUUGGAAAAAUGUUUCCAAUAGUUUGAAGUAGUAUUGCGCUUAACAAUCGAGUGUUUAAGUCAUCAUUUAUGUCGCAAGAGGGGCUAUUUGGUCUGGAAAAGCAUUUACAUUUGGUUGAAAUUGCAUCUGACGGCAGUUAUUCAUGUUGUACAGAUGAGAUGCCAUUCCAAGCAAAGAUAAAACACCUAUUACGAUUGGCGAUGCUUUAUUAAAUCUCUAAGUAUUAAGUCACUGAUAACCUGUAUGAACUGAAAUUAUCUUAUUCAAAUUUCUUAAGUUGUCUCUUUUUUAAAAUGUCCAAUCCAACUAAUAACACCAAUGUAAUGUAGUUGAUGAUAUAAAUGCUGCUACGUAUUUGCAUGGGGGUAAUAUCUACAUUUUGUCUUUAUUUAGAUUGCUAUUAUCUCUUAGAUUCUCGUAUCUAAAAGUGCAUAGAGAUCCAGAUGUUAUGUAAUCCUUAAAGGAAAUGGAUAUUAUUAGCAUUAUCAUUAUGAAUUACAGAGUGUGUCAGAGGACAUAUCCUAUCACGUUGAAGCUGUCUUGUAUGAAUGUGUAAUCAUUAAUUUAUUCAUAUAUCUUGGUAGAGCGAUCCUCUCUGCAUAUUUGGGUAUUAUUUUCAUACGGAUGUUUACAUGCAUGACGGACUCAGUUGAGCCUAUGGGUGAAGAAAAAAAACAAAGAAAAGAAGUUAUAACUUGUGUGCACGCAGAGACACCUACCCGUCCUUACUCACAAACACACACACAUAACACACCACCUCUCACACAUACCUCCAUCCCUCCUACACACACGUUUGCUUCCGAAACACUUCACACAGCAGUCUUAUCUUAUCUCAUUGGUUAUGUCUUUCGGUGGUCGACAGUGGACAAAUGUCUUAUUGUUAUAACUGCCUUCAAAAUGGAUUGCCUGAUUUGGCAUCAGUGAAAUGGCCAGUUCAGACACCUAUGGUGGGCACGCAGCGCACAGGCGAAGGAUCGUUUCUGACUGCCUGCAACACCUCUUUGGCAACAAAGUUACUAUGCUGAAUGCUACAAGUCGACGUGCCCCCGAGAUUCUCACGGGUGCGUGUUUUUGGGUGUGUGUGCAUUUCUGCGUGCACAUAAGUUACUAGUCAUUUCAAAAUUCGCUUUAUACCUCAUCCAGCAAGUAGACGCAACUGUGGUUUUUUGUCUGGUAGUCAGUCAUGCAUUAAAAGAUGCAUAUGAAAAUGGUACCAAAGAAGCGGGGAGAAUAACUGUAUCAGGAUAUGUCAGUAAGUCAACGAUUAAAUGAGCUUAAUCUAGACAAGACAACUUCAAGCUUGUGGGACGUUUUCAUGACUCUCUCUUUAUGUAAGCCAUAUUUUUGUUUUCCCGCAUUAAAACCCUAGAAUAAGAUGUCCAUAUGAUUCCUCAGUUCUAACAGAGAAGGUGAACUCAGACGAAGACAACAAAUAAUCUUAGGUUUAUGUAUCACAUGGUUUGACCCGGUGUUUUGUUUUAACGUGCGACCUUAUAAAAUUAUUUCAUGUAUAGCUUGGGGCAUGGUGAUAUUAUGAUUUGUUUGUUAUUGAUAAAGUUUGUGGAGUGAAAAUUGGGAAUCAUGCAAAUAAAAUUUUAUCUU